UGAUAAAUGUUGUAGGUCAUUAACAGGAAAC
rnacentral:piRNA from 1 species